rnacentral:rRNA from 1 species
GCUCACCAAGGCAACGAUGCGUAGCCGACCUGAGAGGGUGAUCGGCCACACUGGGACUGAGACACGGCCCAGACUCCUACGGGAGGCAGCAGUAGGGAAUCUUCCGCAAUGGACGAAAGUCUGACGGAGCAACGCCGCGUGAGUGAUGAAGGUUUUCGGAUCGUAAAGCUCUGUUGUUAGGGAAGAACAAGUACCGUUCGAAUAGGGCGGUACCUUGACGGUACCUAACCAGAAAGCCACGGCUAACUACGUGCCAGCAGCCGCGGUAAUACGUAGGUGGCAAGCGUUGUCCGGAAUUAUUGGGCGUAAAGGGCUCGCAGGCGGUUUCUUAAGUCUGAUGUGAAAGCCCCCGGCUCAACCGGGGAGGGUCAUUGGAAACUGGGGAACUUGAGUGCAGAAGAGGAGAGUGGAAUUCCACGUGUAGCGGUGAAAUGCGUAGAGAUGUGGAGGAACACCAGUGGCGAAGGCGACUCUCUGGUCUGUA